rnacentral:rRNA from 1 species
CGUAGGGUGCGAGCGUUAAUCGGAAUUACUGGGCGUAAAGCGUGCGCAGGCGGUUUUGCAAGCCGGAUGUGAAAUCCCCGGGCUUAACCUGGGAAUGGCAUUUGGGACUGCAAGGCUGGAGUGCGGCAGAGGAGACUGGAAUUCCUGGUGUAGCAGUGAAAUGCGUAGAUAUCAGGAGGAACACCGAUGGCGAAGGCAGGUCUCUGGGCUGACACUGACGCUCAUGCACGAAAGCGUGGGGAGCAAACAGG